rnacentral:rRNA from 1 species
CCAGACUCCUACGGGAGGCAGCAGUGGGGAAUAUUGCACAAUGGGGGAAACCCUGAUGCAGCGACGCCGCGUGAGUGAAGAAGUAUUUCGGUAUGUAAAGCUCUAUCAGCAGGGAAGAAAAUGACGGUACCUGACCAAGAAGCCCCGGCUAACUACGUGCCAGCAGCCGCGGUAAUACGUAGGGGGCAAGCGUUAUCCGGAUUUACUGGGUGUAAAGGGAGCGUAGACGGCUGAGCAAGUCAGAAGUGAAAGCCCGGGGCUCAACCCCGGGACUGCUUUUGAAACUGCGGAGCUGGAGUGCAGGAGAGGUAAGCGGAAUUCCUGGUGUAGCGGUGAAAUGCGUAGAUAUCAGGAGGAGCACCAGUGGCGAAGGCGGCUUACUGGACUGCAACUGACGUUGAGGCUCGAAAGCGUGGGGAGCAAACAGGAUUAGAUACCCUGGUA